GAAUAGGUCUUUCUAAAGACCAAAGCAUGAAAAAUGUGGAAAAAAAU
rfam:Calypte anna contig14331, whole genome shotgun sequence.